UGGGGAAUAUUGGACAAUGGGCGCAAGCCUGAUCCAGCAAUGCCGCGUGUGUGAAGAAGGCCUUCGGGUUGUAAAGCACUUUUAUCAGGAGCGAAACGCUGUCGGCUAAUACCCGGCGGAACUGACGGUACCUGAGGAAUAAGCACCGGCUAACUUCGUGCCAGCAGCCACGGUAAUACGAAGGGUGCAAGCGUUAAUCGGAAUUACUGGGCGUAAAGCGUGCGUAGGCGGUUUCUUAAGUCUGCUGUGAAAUCCCCGGGCUCAACCUGGGAAUGGCAGUGGAUACUGGGAGGCUAGAGUGUGUCAGAGGGUGGUGGAAUUCCCGGUGUAGCGGUGAAAUGCGUAGAGAUCGGGAGGAACAUCAGUGGCGAAGGCGGCCACCUGGGACAACACUGACGCUGAGGCACGAAAGCGUGGGGAGCAAACAGGAUUAGAUACCCUGGUAGUCCACGCCCUAAAGCGAUGCGAACUGGAUGUUGGUCUCAACUCGGAGAUCAGUGUCGAAGCUAACGCGUUAAGUUCGCCGCCUGGGGAGUACGGUCGCAAGACUGAAACUCAAAUGAAUUGAC
rnacentral:rRNA from 1 species